UAUGCACGCUAGCGACAGGCUUAACACAUGCAAGUCGAGGGGCAGCACAGGUAGCAAUACCGGGUGGCGACCGGCGCACGGGUGAGUAACGCGUAUGCAACUUACCUAUCAGAGGGGGAUAACCCGGCGAAAGUCGGACUAAUACCGCAUGAAGCAGGGGUCCCGCAUGGGGAUAUUUGCUAAAGAUUCAUCGCUGAUAGAUAGGCAUGCGUUCCAUUAGGCAGUUGGCGGGGUAACGGCCCACCAAACCGACGAUGGAUAGGGGUUCUGAGAGGAAGGUCCCCCACAUUGGUACUGAGACACGGACCAAACUCCUACGGGAGGCAGCAGUGAGGAAUAUUGGUCAAUGGCCGAGAGGCUGAACCAGCCAAGUCGCGUGAGGGAUGAAGGUUCUAUGGAUCGUAAACCUCUUUUAUAGGGGAAUAAAGUGCGGGACGUGUCCCGUUUUGUAUGUACCUUAUGAAUAAGGAUCGGCUAACUCCGUG
rnacentral:rRNA from 1 species